GAUGAACGCUGGCGGCAGGCCUAACACAUGCAAGUCGAACGAACCCUUCGGGGUUAGUGGCGGACGGGUGAGUAACACGUGGGAACGUGCCUUUAGGUUCGGAAUAACUCAGGGAAACUUGUGCUAAUACCGAAUGUGCCCUUCGGGGGAAAGAUUUAUCGCCUUUAGAGCGGCCCGCGUCCGAUUAGCUAGUUGGUGAGGUCAUGGCUCACAAAGGCUACGAUCAGUAGCUGGUCUGAGCGGAUGACCAGCCACAUUGGGACUGAGACACGGACCAAACUCCUACGGGAGGCAGCAGUGGGGAAUCUUGCGCAAUGGGCGAAAGCCUGACGCAGCCAUGCCGCGUGGAUGAUGAAGGUCUUAGGAUUGUAAAAUCCUUUCACCGGUGAAGAUAAUGACUGUAGCCGGAGAAGAAGCCCCGGCUAACUUCGUGCCAGCCGCCGCGGUAA
rnacentral:rRNA from 1 species